CAGGUCCCCUCCUUCCAGCGGCGCGAGCAAUCCUUCCUCCCCGAGCAAUGACCAGUUCAUCAAAAACAGCGAGGGAAGAAAUGUUGGAAGAGAUCAGGAAAUCUCCACAGGUUUCAGUGGCGAUGCCGCCCGCUCCGCUCAGGCGCAGUAACUGAUACGGAGCCGGGACAAGCUUUAGAAGUGACGGGAGGAGCGAGAGGAGGAGGAGGAGGAGGAGGGAAGAAAGGAGAGGAAAGGAUGAGGAGGAAAAGAAGAGUGCAGCAGUCGCCGAGCCACUGGGGAAAGAAGGCGGCACGGAGGUGACAACUCCGUUACAGGACCGCGCGGCGAAGCUGUCGGGUGACGAAAAUCUUCAGCGCUGCCAAACAGAUCAGGGGUGAAGAAGAAAAAAACAUCAAGUGGAGUUUCCUGCGCAUUCAGAGAAAGGAGCAGGAGCCCAGGUCUCCAGCAGAUGAAUGGUGCAGUGCUGCUGUUCUCAUAGCAACCACAGAGCAAAAAAGGAGGGGGGGGGGGAGAAGGGUGGGUGCUGAGGCAGGGAAGAAAAUGGCAUAAAAAAAGGGGGAGGGCGUUAUUAAAGGGACACAGUUUUGUUGUUCAGGAACGGAGCUUUGGGAACACAUUGGAUCAGAAACUGAAAAAAAAAAAAAAAAAGAACAACGGAUUUCAUUAAAGCCAACUCUAUUUUC